GAUUCCAUGGUCUAGUGGUUAUGACUCCUGUCUUACACACAGGCGAUCGCCGGUUCGAUCCCGGCUGGAAUCA
rfam:Peniophora sp. CONT PENSPscaffold_27_Cont53, whole genome shotgun sequence.